GCAGUCGAACGGUUGUAGCAAUACAGCAGUGGCAGACGGGUGAGUAACACGUGGGAACCUACCUAGGGGUACGGAAUAACUCAGGGAAACUUGUGCUAAUACCGUAUACGACCUUCGGGUGAAAGAUUUAUCGCCCCUAGAUGGGCCCGCGUUGGAUUAGCUAGUUGGUGGGGUAAAAGCCUACCAAGGCGACGAUCCAUAGCUGGUCUGAGAGGAUGAUCAGCCACACUGGGACUGAGACACGGCCCAGACUCCUACGGGAGGCAGCAGUAGGGAAUCUUGGACAAUGGGCGAAAGCCUGAUCCAGCCAUGCCGCGUGAGUGAUGAAGGCCUUAGGGUUGUAAAGCUCUUUCGCCAGGGAAGAUAAUGACGGUACCUGGAUAAGAAGCCCCGGCAAACUUCGUGCCAGCAGCCGCGGUAAUACGAAGGGGGCUAGCGUUGUUCGGAAUUACUGGGCGUAAAGCGCACGUAGGCGGUUUUCCAAGUUGGAGGUGAAAUCCCUGGGCUCAACCCGGGAACUGCCUCCAAAACUGGAUGACUCGAGUCCGAGAGAGGUGAGUGGAAUUUCCAGUGUAGAGGUGAAAUUCGUAGAUAUUGGAAAGAACACCAGUGGCGAAGGCGGCUCACUGGCUCGGUACUGACGCUGAGGU
rnacentral:rRNA from 1 species